UACGGGGGGGGCAAGCGUUGUCCGGAAUUACUGGGCGUAAAGGGCGCGUAGGCGGCCUUCUAAGUCGGACGUGAAAUCCCUCGGCUUAACCGAGGAACUGCGUCCGAUACUGAAAGGCUUGAAUCCGGGAGAGGGAUGUGGAAUUCCAGGUGUAGCGGUGAAAUGCGUAGAUAUCUGGAGGAACACCGGUGGCGAAGGCGGCAUCCUGGACCGGUAUUGACGCUGAGGCGCGAAAGCUAGGGGAGCAAACGGG
rnacentral:rRNA from 1 species